rnacentral:lncRNA from 1 species
UCCCUGAUGGGCUCAAAAAUAUUGUGAUUCUAAUUCCCUCUUUUUCAUCAAGUUUCCUCUUAUAACAUGUGUAUUUGCGAGGGAGUAGCUAUGAAACUAUCCCUCACAGAUUCACAUUUCAACUUCAGCUUUAAAAACCUCUUGGCCUUAGGGCCAUAUCACAUGCCAACACAAACAAAUAAUAGUUAUGAGUGCUUUGGAGUUCUUAUUCAUACGCAAUAUUACCUCUAUUUUCACAAUUAUACCUUUGCCGAUAACAAAAUACAUUUAUUUUCACAAUUCAUAUGAUUGAUAACAAAAUGCAUAGUCUUAGUAAUUUUAUCCCUUCCCAUUUCUAAAUUCUCGUAAUAGACAAUACACACAUUCUCUUAUUCAGCCGUUAUUUCUAUUUCAUGUAUAUGUUUUUCCUAAUGGAUUUCUAUCUCAUGUAUACAUGAAGGUUAAUGUGUAUUGGCAGACUAUUAACCGUAAUGUUGCAUAUAUCUCUUCUUUCAAAUAGUAGAAAAGGUAAG